AUGCAGAUGGUUUGACCUCGUGGCAGAGCAGCUGUCCCAGAUGAGGGGGUCCCCCUGAGAAGGAAGUAAAGCCGGAUAGCAGCGGGGAAGGCGAAGCAGGUGGAAGGCUGCCUCCUGAUGCUGUGCUGAGGCCCCCUCACUGACCUGCCAAGAGACCCGGUUUGCUUCUCUGGCGACCCCUGCGACGACGGCAUCCGCCUUGGAGCGUGGCCGAAGUGUGCGGCCCGAGGACCUGGGAAGUUCCUAAGAGACGGUGAUGAUACUUGUCUGAGACAACAGCCCGGUGAGAGAAGAACUUCCCAGACAGCGAGGUGGCUUUGUUUGGCUCUCGACCGGCCUCUCGCCGUGACUCACAUCUUCAGCCCUCUGAGAGAUAAGUGGAGCCCACAGAGGGGAUCAAAGCAGGGCGAUGCAGACAGAUUGACCUCAUGGCAGAGCACUGUCCCAGAUGAGGGGGUCCCCCUGAGAAGGUCGGUCACGGUUUUACUUUGCAGCAGGGCUGGAACCGGUCACUGUGUUACAGCUCUGCUCUUUGUAUUUAUUUCUAGGAAGUAAAGCCGGAUAGCAGCGGGGAAGGCGAAGCAGGUGGAAGGUGAGCCUCGGUUGGUGGAGAGAAGCAGUUGUUCUUGCUGGGGUCGCAGUUUCUGCUACAACUCCAA
rnacentral:lncRNA from 1 species